rnacentral:misc_RNA from 1 species
CGGGAGAGCCGCCUGUGGGAGGCUGUCCUAAAGCGCAAUGGCAGAAGGCGCCGCUGCUGUUGGCGGCGCCGGCGUGCUAGCGGCCGCUUCACAGUGGCGCGGCUGCUGUUACCCGAUUCUGACCUUCCUGCACGUCCCGGGAAAAAUGACGAAGCCUCUGUGGCUCAUGAUGGGCACCGCCUUUACAUUUCGAACCCAUGAAAUGGUCGAGGCGACAUACGGGCAGCCGGCAGCCCCGUCAUCGCUGCUGCUCACAGCGAAGCACUCUUUUUCGCCGUGGGACUACACAAAAGACGCAUCGCAGCUGAAGAUCCCAAAAGAGUACCAAAAGCCGCGUUUUGUCAUUGGCCGCGUGUACCGCACGGAUGCAGACGGGAGAGCGGUGGCGGCAGACGCGGUGGGUCUCCGCCUUCUUGCUCACCACCCCAUCCACGACGUGGCUCUACUCGCUGUCGAUGCCGCAUCGUUGAAGCUGCUGCAGUGCGCUACCUACGAUUCACCCGCUCACGCAUUGGACUUGGCGCACGAGGCCCUGCCGCUGUGCAAAGAGCCAUAUCCCGCAGCAUCGGAUGGACUGCUGAUUGGCUUCCGCGGCGCUGGCCGGCUUGGGGAGCUUGACACGCUGGACCCGUCUGUGCUGCAACGUCUGCCGCCACACGAGCGCGAGGCCCUUAUUAAGGAUCUGCAGGACGUGGAGGGCAAGCAGAGGCGAGCCACCACUACCGUCUCGGUACUGGACGCGCGGGGCAUGUGCAAAGGUGUGGGUGAUCUCGCAAUAUGCUAUCACGGCAUGUCGGGCGGCCCCCUCGUCACCACAAAUGGCCAAUGUGCGGGGGUGCUGUACGGCCACCAUCCGGAUGCGCCCGGGUGCAUCGGCUACACACCCUGCGCGGACUUUGCAGGCUGGCUGGAGGAGGAGGUGCAGCGGUACAGGAAGCGGUGCGACUUGCAUUGAUACUCUGGCAAGAGGAGUACGAAGCGAGUUACCGCACCUCCUUUUAAUGAGGCGGGCAGAAUCACCUUGGGGGUGUCGAGACAUUACCAGGGAUGUCACGGCCGCCACCCCGUAUGAGCGAAGCGAAAAAGAAAAGGCCGGUUUUCUUUGUCGUACUGCGCGUGUGUCCGUUUGCACAAAUGGGCAGAGGGGCGGAGAGGAGGCCACGAGCCACCCUAUGCACCUAAAGCAUGCCAUCACAGCAGACACAUGCACAUACAUAUGCACAGCUGCGCACCUAAACAGCACAGAAAGCGGCAGGGGACGGGGAGGAACUCCCGUGGCACGUCCCGCUGGGCUUGGUUGGGCGCAUACUCGCUCAGCUUCCUCUCUUCUGCCGUUUCCUGCCUUCUGUCUCACUCCCGGCUCCUUCCCGCACGCCCGAGGUUUCUUCCCCGCCAUUUCCCACCUCCCUCUUUCUUACCUUUAG